rnacentral:rRNA from 1 species
UACGUAGGCAGCGAGCGUUGUUCGGAGUUACUGGGCGUAGAGCGUGCGUAGGCGGUGUCUUAAGUUUGUUGUGAAAUCUCCCGGCUUAACCGGGAGGGUGCGGCGAAUACUGAGAUGCUGGAGUGCCGGAGAGGUAAGCGGAAUUCCUGGUGUAGCGGUGAAAUGCGUAGAUAUCAGGAGGAACACCUGCGGUGUAGACGGCUUACUGGACGGUAACUGACGCUGAGGCACGAAAGCGUGGGUAGCAAACAGG